rnacentral:rRNA from 1 species
UCCCAGACUCCUACGGGAGGCAGCAGUGAGGAAUAUUGGUCAAUGGGCGCGAGCCUGAACCAGCCAAGUCGCGUGAGGGAGGACGGCCCUACGGGUUGUAAACCUCUUUUGCCGGGGAGCAACGGGCGUCACGUGUGGCGCCACUGAGAGUACCCGGAGAAAAAGCAUCGGCUAACUCCGUGCCAGCAGCCGCGGUAAUACGGAGGAUGCGAGCGUUAUCCGGAUUUAUUGGGUUUAAAGGGUGCGUAGGCGGCUCUUUAGGUCAGUGCUAAAAUGGGGGGGCCCAACCCCUCCCCGCCAUUGAAACUGGCGCUCUUGAGUGGAAGAGAAGUAUGCGGAAUGCGUGGUGUAGCGGUGAAAUGCAUAGAUAUCACGCAGAACCCCGAUUGCGAAGGCAGCAUGCCGGCUUCCGACUGACGCUGAAGCACGAAAGCGUGGGGAUCGAACAGGAUUAGAUACCCCUGUA